UACAGAGGUCUCGAGCGUUGUUCGGAUUCAUUGGGCGUAAAGGGUGCGUAGGCGGCGCUGUAAGUCAGGUGUGAAAUUUCGGAGCUUAACUCCGAAACUGCAUUUGAUACUGCGGUGCUUGAGGACUGGAGAGGAGACUGGAAUUUACGGUGUAGCAGUGAAAUGCGUAGAGAUCGUAAGGAAGACCAGUGGCGAAGGCGGGUCUCUGGACAGUUCCUGACACUGAGGCACGAAGGCCAGGGGAGCAAGCGGG
rnacentral:rRNA from 1 species